rnacentral:lncRNA from 1 species
AAAGGAUAGUAAUUUUUCUCUUUUAAUGCCCUUCUCCCUCCUUCUUCCUUCUUCCUACGGCACAUUGCAGUAAAUUAAUGUCAUGGUGGUUAUUACAGUAGCGCUGCUAUGGCAAGUAUUCAAGCAACGAUCCUCGAAUAUUUUACCUCAGCAUUUAUUUGUCCAUAAAAUAAAAUAGGAUUUAUUGCAGUACUCUCUGGUUUGAGGACUGCAUGGACAGCAGCUGUGACAACUCCUUAUCUCCACUGCAGGUAAAGAUAUAGGGGAUGAUUCCCUGAAGCUAAAGAGAAACAAGGAACGUGGAAGUCAGUCAGCUACACAACCACAGUGUCACACAAAUUGGGCUAUCAGCUCCUCUCUGCUGGAGAUGGCGAAGGAGAAUGGGAGCUGUGGGAACAGAUCCAGGGGACAGAAGCCCACAGAGAUCUUCCCCAGAAGAUGAGUGGAGCAGAUCAGAGAUGGGAAUAAAGGAGCUGUCACCAACCACAGCCUUCUCCCUGCUCUGCACAGUGAAUGCACAGGACACAGAUCAGAAGGUGUUCCCCCCUGUGUCAGGAUCCUGCCUACCAAGAAAACCCACUGCUGGCCAUGCCCUGCCCACAGGGAGGGGAAAAGGAGGCUCCACACUGCCAGGCUAUGAUGCAGAAAUGUGAGAAGGAAAGCCAAACCUGUGUGAGGCAAAUAUAGUCUGUGGGAGUAACUCUGUAGGCCACUAAAUUUCAAAAAUGCCAUUCAAUAAAAUUUGUGAAGUAACAAAGCCUAAACUAAUA